GAUUGCAUCUGCUGCAGAAGUGAAGGGACUAAGGGCAGGGGGUGCUGCCAGGCCCCCACCAGGUAGAGCCUCUCCCCAGCCCGUGGCAAGCUCUGGGGUGCUCGGGACGUCACAAGGUGGGAGCUCUGGCUUGCUUACCGCAACCAAGAAAAGAAGAACAGAUACAAGUUCAAAGUUUAUUCUAUGAUGGCCGCGCUCUGGUGAAUGACUCUGUAACUUUUUUGGAAAGCUGGGGCUUUGGGCCUAGCGGCGGGCCGCGGCACCUCGCGUUCUCUGAGGCCUGGUCUUGCGCAUGCGUUCUAGGAAGCUCCUUCGGCAAAGCUCUCAGUGGUGUCGGAUCCUUCCAUGGCAGGAGGAAGCUGACCUUGGGCAAGGUUACAUCUCCUUUCUUUCUGUCUAAUCGAGACUCUUCCUGUUGGCCGACUGUGUGCAGUGGACCCAGCUGGCCCAGGGAUCUGCAAGGCUCCCGCGUCUGAAAGUUUCCCGCUUUCCCUGAACUUGCGGAGCAGACAUACAUCAUUUCCGCCUGGGCUCUUGCACCGCCACCUCAGACGUGCCUGGAGCUUUAAACCUAAUCCCUGUGUGGCUCACCACAGGUGCUCAGACAUGGAGAUGGUGGAGGUGUCCAGAUUGAUCCAAACUAAUCAUCAGGACGCCUUCCACAGUCCUUGAAGGAGAGGGAGUGCCGCUGAUUCCUCUUCCCAAGUGGGCAUGUGCGUGCGUGUGUGUGUGUGUGUGUGUGUGUGUGUGUGCGCGCGCGCGUGUAUCUGUGCCUGUGUGCAUGUAUGCAUGUAUACUUGGGAGUGAGAUAUAGUUAAUAAGCUGAGUAGUCCUUGCUCUCCAGGGUUUCAUGGCUUCCACGCAUUACUGUGGCCACUCAGAGCUCCACUGGUAGCUUUGACUGACUUUGUUCUUUGCUACUUUCAAAGUUAGAAGGAAAGCAAAUCGGGCUGGCUGUGAACCUCUGAAACACCAAAUGGCUUUGCCCUAGGAAAGCCCCACUGAACUCCAUGAUGGCAUCGAAGACAUUCUCCCUUCUCUUGGGGAGAUUUUGCCAAGUCUUUCUUCUCUCUGGAUGCUUACUCCUUUAUAAAGCAAGCACAGAACCUCUUUGCUGCUGGAGCCCCCAGAAUGCUGAUACACACAGGACCUGGCCCAGGAAAGCAACUUGAUCAAAUGUGAAUUUCAAGGUCCCUUGGGCUGUGUGGUGAAGAGAGGAGCAGAGAGUGAAGGGAGACCAGCUUCGCUGAUGACCCCAGGAGAGAUGGUGGUGUCUCAGACUCAGGUACCGUCAAUGGGAAAUGACUACGUCUGCAAGGCCUAUCAGGUGAGACUUGACUCUUAGCAAAGACUUACCCACAAAAGCUAGAGGAGAGGGCUGGGAUGAGAACCCAGCAGUCAACCCUUAGAGUCCCGGUGCCACUUUGGGUGCCCUUUCUGUCCUAUUUUAUAUUCUUGAUGUUAACAUAUCUACACUUGGGUUUAUAAUAAAAGAGAAAAGAAUCAUGGACCACAAGUUAUUAUUGCAAAAAUUCAGCCUUUCUAUCUUUUGCACAAUGGUUUCCAAAAUGAUCAUUUUCAAGGAUGGGCCACAGUUUACAAACCAUGAUAGACAAAUAGUUGCUUAAUGCUGCUGCCCACAGACUCAGUCAGUGUGAGCAUAAUUUUAGAAUGAAGCCUGAAAGACAUUUUUGGAUAUUAGAAAGUUACACCUGGACUUUUUCAUCUGCACUGGAGGCCCAGUUGUUAUCUGUGCUGAGUUGCUGCUGAUUCUCUUGAUUAGAGCUUGAAGAAUAAAUCUGCAUUUUUGUUUCAACAAAACUUAGAAACAAAAUGGAAGAGAAGGAUAUACCGUGUAAUAACGGAAGUCCCAGUGCACUGGUAAUUCAGUUUAAACCUUCCUUAUACAGACAGCGGUGCCCGUUCAUUAAAGAUUUAGCGGAUCUACAUUAACCCGAGAAGGUUGCAGACCUGGGAUGUGGUGAUACUUCACUCAUAAGGCAGUUAAAAGUGUUUCCACGCAUUGAACUGCUUGCUGGAGUAGACAUGGAUGGGGAUAAAUUACGAUGGAAAGGAGAACUGUGGGCUCCUGUCCUGGGGCAUUUUCUGCAACCCCAGGAGUUGGAUCCGACUAUUCCAUUGUCUUGUGGCUCUGUUGUGGAGAGAGACUCCCAUUGGCUUGGAUUUGACUUGAUGAUGUGUAUUGAAUUAAUAGCACAUUUGGAUUCAGACAAUCUGUAUUUCCUGAAGUAGCAUUUGGCUACUCAUUGCCAUCCACAGUACUGGUCAGCACACCAAACUCUGAAUUCAAUCCCUUGUUUCCAACAGUGACCUUAAGAGAUUCAGAUCAUAAAUUUGAGUGGACUAGAGUGGAAUUUCAGAACGGAGCUUUCCAUGCAGCAAAUCUCUAUAAUGACUCUGUGGCAUUUACUGGUGUGGGAGCACCACCAGCUGGUGCUGAGAGUGUUGGAUUCUGUAUUUUACAGAUAGGACUCUUCCGGGAAAAUGGCGGAAAGGCGGCUGAACUGUGUGUUUCAGAGCAGCUUGCCCAGCAUACUUAUAAAGCUGUUCUUACAGCCUCAUACCAAGUUUACAGCAGGAAAGAUUCCUCAGACUCAUAUUGGUCAAUGAAGUAUCCCGACAACUGGAAAGCUUGAGAAAGCUUGAGAGUGAGGUAUCUG